GACGAGCCACACGAACGUUAUUCGGAAUUACUGGGCUUAAAGGGUGCGUAGGCGGCGCAGAAAGUUGGGUGUGAAAUCCCUCGGCUCAACCGAGGAACUGCGCCCAAAACUACUGUGCUUGAGGAAGAUAGAGGUAAGCGGAACUUACGGUGGAGCGGUGAAAUGCGUUGAUAUCGUAAGGAACACCUGUGGCGAAAGCGGCUUACUGGGUCUUUUCUGACGCUGAUGCACGAAAGCCAGGGGAGCAAAUGGG
rnacentral:rRNA from 1 species